AGCGUACACGGUGGAUGCCCUGGCAGUCAGAGGCGAUGAAGGACGUGCUAAUCUGCGAUAAGCGUCGGUAAGGUGAUAUGAACCGUUAUAACCGGCGAUUUCCGAAUGGGGAAACCCAGUGUGUUUCGACACACUAUCAUUAACUGAAUCCAUAGGUUAAUGAGGCGAACCGGGGGAACUGAAACAUCUAAGUACCCCGAGGAAAAGAAAUCAACCGAGAUUCCCCCAGUAGCGGCGAGCGAACGGGGAGCAGCCCAGAGCCUGAAUCAGUAUGUGUGUUAGUGGAAGCGUCUGGAAAGGCGCGCGAUACAGGGUGACAGCCCCGUACACAAAAAUGCACAUGCUGUGAGCUCGAUGAGUAGGGCGGGACACGUGGUAUCCUGUCUGAAUAUGGGGGGACCAUCCUCCAAGGCUAAAUACUCCUGACUGACCGAUAGUGAACCAGUACCGUGAGGGAAAGGCGAAAAGAACCCCGGCGAGGGGAGUGAAAAAGAACCUGAAACCGUGUACGUACAAGCAGUGGGAGCACGCUUAGGCGUGUGACUGCGUACCUUUUGUAUAAUGGGUCAGCGACUUAUAUUCUGUAGCAAGGUUAACCGAAUAGGGGAGCCGAAGGGAAACCGAGUCUUAACUGGGCGUUAAGUUGCAGGGUAUAGACCCGAAACCCGGUGAUCUAGCCAUGGGCAGGUUGAAGGUUGGGUAACACUAACUGGAGGACCGAACCGACUAAUGUUGAAAAAUUAGCGGAUGACUUGUGGCUGGGGGUGAAAGGCCAAUCAAACCGGGAGAUAGCUGGUUCUCCCCGAAAGCUAUUUAGGUAGCGCCUCGUGAAUUCAUCUCCGGGGGUAGAGCACUGUUUCGGCAAGGGGGUCAUCCCGACUUACCAACCCGAUGCAAACUGCGAAUACCGGAGAAUGUUAUCACGGGAGACACACGGCGGGUGCUAACGUCCGUCGUGAAGAGGGAAACAACCCAGACCGCCAGCUAAGGUCCCAAAGUCAUGGUUAAGUGGGAAACGAUGUGGGAAGGCCCAGACAGCCAGGAUGUUGGCUUAGAAGCAGCCAUCAUUUAAAGAAAGCGUAAUAGCUCACUGGUCGAGUCGGCCUGCGCGGAAGAUGUAACGGGGCUAAACCAUGCACCGAAGCUGCGGCAGCGACGCUGAUGCGUUGUUGGGUAGGGGAGCGUUCUGUAAGCCUGCGAAGGUGUGCUGUGAGGCAUGCUGGAGGUAUCAGAAGUGCGAAUGCUGACAUAAGUAACGAUAAAGCGGGUGAAAAGCCCGCUCGCCGGAAGACCAAGGGUUCCUGUCCAACGUUAAUCGGGGCAGGGUGAGUCGACCCCUAAGGCGAGGCCGAAAGGCGUAGUCGAUGGGAAACAGGUUAAUAUUCCUGUACUUGGUGUUACUGCGAAGGGGGGACGGAGAAGGCUAUGUUGGCCGGGCGACGGUUGUCCCGGUUUAAGCGUGUAGGCUGGUUUUCCAGGCAAAUCCGGAAAAUCAAGGCUGAGGCGUGAUGACGAGGCACUACGGUGCUGAAGCAACAAAUGCCCUGCUUCCAGGAAAAGCCUCUAAGCAUCAGGUAACAUCAAAUCGUACCCCAAACCGACACAGGUGGUCAGGUAGAGAAUACCAAGGCGCUUGAGAGAACUCGGGUGAAGGAACUAGGCAAAAUGGUGCCGUAACUUCGGGAGAAGGCACGCUGAUAUGUAGGUGAAGUCCCUCGCGGAUGGAGCUGAAAUCAGUCGAAGAUACCAGCUGGCUGCAACUGUUUAUUAAAAACACAGCACUGUGCAAACACGAAAGUGGACGUAUACGGUGUGACGCCUGCCCGGUGCCGGAAGGUUAAUUGAUGGGGUUAGCGCAAGCGAAGCUCUUGAUCGAAGCCCCGGUAAACGGCGGCCGUAACUAUAACGGUCCUAAGGUAGCGAAAUUCCUUGUCGGGUAAGUUCCGACCUGCACGAAUGGCGUAAUGAUGGCCAGGCUGUCUCCACCCGAGACUCAGUGAAAUUGAACUCGCUGUGAAGAUGCAGUGUACCCGCGGCAAGACGGAAAGACCCCGUGAACCUUUACUAUAGCUUGACACUGAACAUUGAGCCUUGAUGUGUAGGAUAGGUGGGAGGCUUUGAAGUGUGGACGCCAGUCUGCAUGGAGCCGACCUUGAAAUACCACCCUUUAAUGUUUGAUGUUCUAACGUUGACCCGUAAUCCGGGUUGCGGACAGUGUCUGGUGGGUAGUUUGACUGGGGCGGUCUCCUCCUAAAGAGUAACGGAGGAGCACGAAGGUUGGCUAAUCCUGGUCGGACAUCAGGAGGUUAGUGCAAUGGCAUAAGCCAGCUUGACUGCGAGCGUGACGGCGCGAGCAGGUGCGAAAGCAGGUCAUAGUGAUCCGGUGGUUCUGAAUGGAAGGGCCAUCGCUCAACGGAUAAAAGGUACUCCGGGGAUAACAGGCUGAUACCGCCCAAGAGUUCAUAUCGACGGCGGUGUUUGGCACCUCGAUGUCGGCUCAUCACAUCCUGGGGCUGAAGUAGGUCCCAAGGGUAUGGCUGUUCGCCAUUUAAAGUGGUACGCGAGCUGGGUUUAGAACGUCGUGAGACAGUUCGGUCCCUAUCUGCCGUGGGCGCUGGAGAACUGAGGGGGGCUGCUCCUAGUACGAGAGGACCGGAGUGGACGCAUCACUGGUGUUCGGGUUGUCAUGCCAAUGGCACUGCCCGGUAGCUAAAUGCGGAAGAGAUAAGUGCUGAAAGCAUCUAAGCACGAAACUUGCCCCGAGAUGAGUUCUCCCUGACUCCUUGA
rnacentral:rRNA from 2 species